AGCACAGCAGUCACCUGCUUUUACAACGGAGAAUACUAGUGCUCUGUUUUCUUGCGGAGAGUAACAAAUAUGAGGGUUUUUUUUUUAUUUAUCUUUGCUUGAUGUCCACUUUCCAAGGUGGCCAGUCACAGGUUCAGCUGGUCCAGUCUGGGGCAGAAAUUAAGAAGCCUGGAGAUUCUCUCAAGAUAUCGUGUAAAACUUCAGGGUUCACGCUCACUAGCUAUUACAUGAGCUGGCUCCAGCAGACUCCUGGGAAAGGACUGGCGUGGGUUGGAAGAAUUGACCCUGAAGAUGGUGCUACCAUCUACUCCCAGUCCUUUAAAGACAGAUUCUCCAUCACCACCGAUAACUCCAUCAGCACCAUGUACCUGCAACUCUGCAGCCUGAGAGCCGAAGACACGGCUUUGUAUUACUGUGCUAGACACACAGUGAGAGGCAACCCAGACAUUGCCAUGCAAAAACUGAGUGUGAGAGUAGCAUUGAAUCAGAGGCCUUAG